rnacentral:rRNA from 1 species
GUCUGACGGAGCAACGCCGCUGAGUGAUGAAAGGUCUUUGGUUUGUAAACUUUUUGUAUUAGGGAAGAACAAAAUGUGUAAGUAACUGUGCACAUCUUGACGGUACCUGAUUAGAAAGCCACGGCUAAUUACGUGCCAGCAGCCGCGGUAAUAAGUAGGUGGCAAGCGUUAUCUGGAAUUAUUGGGCGUAAAGCGCGCGUAGGCGGUUUUUUAAGUCUGAUGUGAAAGCCCACGGCUCAACCGUGGAGGGUCAUUGGAAACUGGAAAACUUGAGUGCAGAAGAGGAAAGUGGAAUUCCAUGUGUAGCGGUGAAAUGCGCAGAGAUAUGGAGGAACACCAGUGGCGAAGGCGACUUUCUGGUCUGUAACUGACGCUGAUGUGCGAAAGCGUGGGGAUCAAACAGGAUUAGAUACCCUGGUAGUCCACGCCGUAAACGAUGAGUGCUAAGUGUUAGGGGGUUUCCGCCCCUUAGUGCUGCAGCUAACGCAUUAAGCACUCCGCCUGGGGAGUACGACCGCAAGGUUGAAACUCAAAGGAAUUGACGGGGACCCGCACAAGCGGUGGAGCAUGUGGUUUAAUUCGAAGCAACGCGAAGAACCUUACCAAAUCUUGACAUCCUUUGACCGCUCUAGAGAUAGAGUCUUCCCCUUCGGGGGACAAAGUGACAGGUGGUGCAUGGUUGUCGUCAGCUCGUGUCGUGAGAUGUUGGGUUAAGUCCCGCAACGAGCGCAACCCUUAAGCUUAGUUGCCAUCAUUAAGUUGGGCACUCUAAGUUGACUGCCGGUGACAAACCGGAGGAAGGUGGGGAUGACGUCAAAUCAUCAUGCCCCUUAUGAUUUGGGCUACACACGUGCUACAAUGGACAAUACAAAGGGCAGCUAAACCGCGAGGUCAAGCAAAUCCCAUAAAGUUGUUCUCAGUUCGGAUUGUAGUCUGCAACUCGACUACAUGAAGCUGGAAUCGCUAGUAAUCGUAGAUCAGCAUGCUACGGUGAAUACGUUCCCGGGUCUUGUACACACCGCCCGUCACACCACGAGAGUUUGUAACACCCGAAGCCGGUGGAGUAACCAUCUAUGGAGCCUAGCCGUCGAA